GACGAACGCUGGCGGCGUGCUUAACACAUGCAAGUCGAACGAUGAACCCGGAGCUUGCUCCGGCGGAUUAGUGGCGAACGGGUGAGUAACACGUGAGUAACCUGCCCUUGACUCUGGGAUAACUGCUAGAAAUGGUAGCUAAUACCGGAUACGACCCUCGGUGGCAUCACCAGGGGGUGGAAAGAAUUUCGGUCAAGGAUGGACUCGCGGCCUAUCAGCUAGUUGGUGAGGUAACGGCUCACCAAGGCGACGACGGGUAGCCGGCCUGAGAGGGUGACCGGCCACACUGGGACUGAGACACGGCCCAGACUCCUACGGGAGGCAGCAGUGGGGAAUAGUGCACAAUGGAGGCAACUCUGAUGCAGCAACACUGCGUGAAGGAUGAAGGUUUUCGGAUCGUAAACUUCUUUUAUCUGGGAAUAAUCUUGAAGGUACCAGAUGAAUAAGCACCGGCUAACUACGUGCCAGCAGCCGCCAUAA
rnacentral:rRNA from 1 species